GCGGAGCCAGGCGGCGGGGGCGGGGGGACGGGGAGGAGGCGGGGCCCCGUGGGCAGCCCAGGGCGCCGGGCUCGCGCGCCGGAGGAGGGGCGUCGCCGACAGUCCCUGGUCUCAGUCCACUCCUUUUUCAUCCUUUUCUCACGGUCCAUCUUCCGCCCUGGCCACAUCACUACUCUUUCUCCUUCUCUGCCAGGAAGGACAAGAUGAACCGCCUCGCCCGUCUGGUGGGGUCCUUGAUCUCCCGGGACCGGCAGGCACCAGGGGCCAAGGUGGUGCCUGUCCCCACCCCCAGAGUCUUCAUCUCCCCCGGUUGUCCCUUGUGCCUUGCAAAGAACUUCAACUAGAGGAAGUGGACAACUGUCUACAGGAGGCAAGAGGUUCUCAGCCCAGACUCUGCCUGUGAGGGCCCUGGGGGAGAAGAUUCCUGCAGUUCUCUCCUGGGAUUUGACGAGCAGGUCUGGAUACAGCUCUUGAAUCUGCACUUUAACCCUCAGGUGCAGCAGUGGGACACUGAAUCUUCCUGAAGAUCAGCAGUGCCAGCAGUCACUGUCUUUUCAGUGCCCUUGUCCGGAUACCCCUUGGGUGUGAAAUAUCUGAGAAAAGACCGUGCUUUGCAGUUAUUCGGAAAGUUAAGUGCCUGGCUUUGGGAUCUUUGUCAUUGCCCUUGUCCGGAUACCCCUUGGGUGUGAAAUAUCUGAGAAAAGACCGUGCUUUGCGGUUAUUCGGAAAGUUAAGUGCCUGGCUUUGGGAUCUUUGUCAUUGCCCUUGUCCGGAUACCCCUUGGGUGUGAAAUAUCUGAGAAAAGACCGUGCUUUGCGGUUAUUCGGAAAGUUAAGUGCCUGGCUUUGGGAUACAAAUGUCCUGCUUCUGUGAUGUCCUAUCCUUCAGGCGUGCAAGGACCACCUUAUCUUUCUGCUCAUCCCUGCCACCUGGAGAGUGGCAGGACUGAAGGCCCUAAUAUUAGAUGUGAGGUCCCAAACUUGCUCCCUGUGCUGGAUCCCCAGUGACCCUCCUUUGUGGAUUAUUCCAGAGGGCCCAAGGUAGGGUGGUUGGAUGUGGAAGGCAUUGGCCUGAUCAGUUUAGACUAAUGCUUGGUUCUAGUCCUACCACAGAUUCACUGUGUGACCUAAGCCAGUGGUUUGCCCCCACUGGGCCUCAGUUUCCUCAUCUGUAAAAUGGGAGUAAAUGCCCUGCAUUCCAGAGUGGUUAAGUACAGUUUUACAGUUGUGGGUAAAACCCUGGUCCCAAGUAUGGCACCGUAAUAGUGAUUCACCCCAAACACGGGCUCAGUCUUGGGCUCCCCGUCCUUCUAUAUCUGUGCCCACUUUCCAUGGAGGGUUCAUCUGCUCCUCUGGUCCAGCUGGGCAUCACUUCUGAGAGGUCUCUCUGUAGUGCUGGCCUGCUCUACUUCGAGAGAGGGGUGGAUGAGGACUGGUGCUGGCGACAGAGCCUUGCUGGGCCAGGCACAGUGGGCAAAGUUCUGGUUUCCAUCUCUUGGUUAUUUUAACUAAUUAAUUAAUUUGGCCGGCAUGCGGAAGUUCCCAGGUCAGGGAUGAAAUCUGUGCCACAGCAAUGACCUGAGCCACAGCAGUGACAACACCAGACCCUUAACCCACUAUACCACCAAAUAACCAUCCUUUGGUUAUUUGAUCAAACACAAUCUACAUACUGCUGGGAAGGGGCUUUGCAGGUAGAAUUAAGGUUUUGAAUCUUUUGAAUCUCAAGGACUCUCCUGGUUUAUCUGAGGGGUCCUGGUGUAAUCAUGGGAACCCGUCAAAGCAGAAGAGGAAGACAGAAGAGUCAGGGAGAGGAAGCAAGAAGAGAGCUUUGAGCCAAGAGAAGGACUCUAUCCACCACUGCUGGCCUUGUUGGGGGCCACAAACCAAGGAAUGUGGGUGGCCUCUAGAAGCUGAAAUAACCCCAAACCCCAGCCAGGAAGGAAUUCUGCCGAUGCCCUGAAUAAGCUUGGAAGCAGAUUUGUCCCCAGACCUCUGGAAAGGAAAGCGGGCUGCCUGACCCCCUUGCUUUGAGACCUGAAGCAGAGCAACCAGCCAGAUUCACACGGACCUCUGACCUCCCUCCCUGGGCGAUAAUAAACACGUGCUCUUUUAAGCCUC